rnacentral:rRNA from 1 species
GAUGAACGCUGGCGGCGUGCCUAACACAUGCAAGUCGAGCGAAGCGGGGACGGGUGAGUAACACGUGGAUAACUUCAUAUGAGACUGGGAUACCUUCCGGAAACCGAAGACAGACCGGAUACUUAUCGAUGGAUCCGCGCUGCAUCAGCUCGUUGGUAAGGUAACGGUGUACAAAGGCAACGAUGCAUAGCCGACCUGAGAGGGUGAACGGCCACGCUGGAACGGAGACACGGUCCAGUCGCCACCGGGAGGCAGCAGUGGGGAAUCUGCCGCAAUGGGCGAGAGCCUGACGGAGAAAGGCCGCGUGAGUGAUGAAGGUCUUCGGCUCGUAAAACUCUGUUAUUAGGGAAGCGGUACCUGAUCAGAAAGCCACGGCUAACUACGUGCCAGCAGCCGCGGUAAUUC